rnacentral:misc_RNA from 1 species
GUUUAUAAUUGUACAUUUGCACAAAAAGACAUUCCGUUACAUUCAGAGUGUGUAAAAUUUACUCUCAGUCAUUACAACCUCGAGUCAUAGAUGCACAGGUGUGUGUGGAUUUGCGACCGAGCGUGCACAUGUGUUCAUGAGAACACCAGCACAACAAGGCCGACUUUGAAGUUUCAUUAAUGAUCCUUCCGCAGGUUCACCUACGGAAA